CCUACCAUUACGCAAGGCAGUACUUUCUGAAAAGAAACGAAUCUUCUCAAAAGGUAAGAACUAUUUCUAAUCAUUAAUUAUGUCUAAUCAUCUCUGAAAAUUACAAUCUGUAAGAAUAAAGAAUUGCAGUAUAUAUGUAGACAGGUACAUAAUUGAUAAUUAGCCAUUCCGAAGUUGAUGAGUGGACUGGGGACGAGUGUUAAAAAGUGCCCAAAUUAGGAAAUGAACCAAAUCACUAAAAUGACCACCUCGAAAUUAGUAAGUAUACAAAGUUUGAAUAUCCUUCGAAUAAUAAGCUUUCGAAAAUCGUGAUAUUUACUAUGAAAUAUAUUGUAAUUUUUGUUUUUGGGACUCGCGUUCCAAUGGGUAUUGAUGUAAACGUCUUCAAACUUGUAUACUUACCAAUUUUGAGGUUGUCUUUUUAGUUAUUUGGUUCAUUUUUUAUUUGGGCACUUUUUAACACUCGUCCCCAGUCCUCUCAUCAACUUCGGAAUGGCUAAUAUAAGAAUUUAAAGAAGAGAUUAACAAGAAAGUCAACAGACAUAAUGCCUGCACUGCUACAAACCAUGUACUGUACAACUAUUGUAACUUGCAAAUGGGUCAGAAAUGAAAUGAUCAGAAUCUAAGAGAAUUUCUUUAAGCUAUUUCAGGCCUCAUUGUUAUUCCUGGCCAUAAGGCAUAAUACUGUAUUUUUUGAUGAAUCGGAUCUGAAUAAGGAUUAAGGUGUAACUGAGUUGACUCGAGUCAUUUACGGCAGUAAUUAUUUGGGGCAAACGCCAGGCAAAGAAAAAUUUUACAGUAUCAGGCAGUAAAGAGUGAAUGUAUACUUGCUGUUUUAAAACUGCACUGCAUGAUUAUUCUUUCGACACAAGAAAGAAAAUAUGAAACGAAAACGUUCAACGAAAAUGUCGCCAAGAAAGUUUGAAGCUGCCGUUUGCCGUUCCCGCGGAAACGUGAAGCUUAAACUCCCUAAUAUUUACAGUUUGUUUUUCAAAUGGCUCAUGUGACCGUGUUAAAUACAAUAUUUAAAAAACCCACAAAUUCUAUUAACAAAAUAAUGAAUACUGAUUUUAUGGUAUUGUCAUAACCGCCGUUUGAAUUUAGAUAGGGAUAGAUUAUAUUAUAGAUAUUUUAGAUUAUUUUGCUCGAUAAUUCGUUCCACCCUUGUGCCGCUGUAUAAGUGAAACGUCUUUUGAGAAAGUUAGUCAGUCUUGGUCUAGGCAGAGCGAGUUUACCGUAUUACUCCUUAAGGAAUACUGUAUAUACUGUUUUCAAAUUUAGUGAAAAGAUCUUGAAUAUACUGUACAGAGGUAGUUUGCAUGUUAAAGCUUUGACCCUUGUUGGAAGCGACAUUAACCUCUGUGGACGUGUCUAGUUUUAUUCAAUUCUGUGCCAUUGUAUAGGAACUUUUUACGUGGGAAGUAAACAGGCUAUGUGAACAUUUGAGGAAUUCUCUUCAUCCAAAUAGAGAAUUCAAGUUAGAUAAAGAUCUCUUUGAUUGGCAAGAGGUACUGUAUAGCAUUGAUAAUAGCUGGAUUCAAGGGUUUUAAACAAGAAUUCCUGGUUUAGAAUCCACCUAACAUAAUCUGGUUAUUCAACCAUAUAGCGUGGUUAAAUCAUAGAUAUCUUAUAUACACACUAGAUAGCGCAUCUUUUUUAGUAAACUUGAAGCCAAGAAUAAUCCAGCGGUUACCUCCAUUUGAAUAGAUGGCGGCCAUGUUGAAGUUUCCCACUCGCUAAUAAACGCUUAAAAAACAACAAUAACUUUCAUCAUUUGAAUAGUUUGAAAAUGUAUUUGGAAUAGGUUUAACUUACUGUAAUGUUUAAGUUCCCUGUUUAAGAAAUAGAAAACAUACAAUCCUGAGUCUGCAAUCACGGCCUUAAUUUUUGAAUUGCAGAAUAAUUAGACGCACUAUCUAGUGUAUAUAAGAUAUCUAUGGGUUAAAUUUACCAGGAAUCCUGGUUGAAUUAACCAAGACUGUGGUUAAAUAACCAGGAAAUUUAAUCGCGAACAUUAAGUCACCGUAAGGAAUGUGAAUUUUAGAUUAACCAGGGAAUUUUUAGCCUGCGGGGUAUUUUUAGAGUGCGUCUUUUAAAUGGAACAGCCGAAACUACACAGUGCCUUUUUUAAGGAAUUUUCACGGGGGGGGGGGGCAAAACAGGAAAAAAAGGCUGAACGAAAAAUAUGAGCCGUCGAGGUUUGGCAAACGUGCGAGUCUGAAGAGAGAUUUUGGAAAACUUUAAUUUAUUAACUUCAGCUAUAUUUUACUAGCUUUAAACAAUAACUUCGACUCUUUGUAGCUAUAAUCGUACAGCUAUAACCAGUGGCGUAACCAAACCUUGAUUUUGCGAUUUCAUGCAUUUUGGGGGUGAAAUAUAGCAGAAUUCCGAAGAUUAUAAAGUACAUCGAAGACAUGAAUUUUUCCAGACAUUUCUACUCGGAAUUAAAUAAAUUGGAAAAGUCACCUUGAUCCCAAUGUGAUUUUGAUCAGAAAUGUUGCAUUUAAAUCGUUUUAGGUUCUAUGAGACACCAUUUCCGCAUUCUCAAAAUUGCGUUGCUUUUUCAUACGAUACAGAAUAAGUCUGAGAAGAAAUAUUCAUGCUAUGAUGCAUGAUGCAUACAUGUAUUUAACAGAUAAAAAUCUAAACUAAAUCUAUUCUUCUUGGAACCAUAUCUACAACUGCUUUAAUCAAGUUCCUCCAGUAUAUCAUCUUUUUCCUCAGUCGAAACGUACUUAAUCAGUUUCAGCUUCGAGCAUGUAACGUGUACACCCCCCACCCUCCAAUUUCUCUACGGAUUUAGCCUUUCUGAGAGAAUGAUUUUUGUGGUGAUUGGGGGGAGGGGGGCUCUUAAUAUAACUUGAUAUUUUUAAGAAACAAUUUUGCAAUAAAACCUCCCAAAACAAAACACAACGCCUCUGCGGAGGAGAGUGCUAGGAAAUAGUCGCAAGGCUUGGAAAGGCUAGCAUUUUAUCGGAUUGUUUGCAUGAAAUCUAUCGCUAUUAUGAAAUACUCGGUGAAGAACAAUAUGAAUUACACACAAGAUGGCUGUGGAGGAGGCUAUGGAAGGGCAUAAUCUCAUUAUCAAGUAAAUCAACUGCAAUUCUGACAGCAAUCCUGAGCAAUUCUGCUUCGCACUUCAGGGGAAGAAAUGGCUUUACUGGGGGGGGGCAAAUCCUUUCCCUUGGGGGGCAAUUCCCCCCCCCAGAUAUAUAGUUAAAAAAGGCACUGAAACUACAGAGCGAACCUAAGUACUUACUGUACCUGUAGUCCUUUACAAUGGGUGAUUCCAGCUAUAGACUAAAUUUUGAUCAAGGCAAGAAGAACGAAAUCCAACAGUACAACUACUGUAGAAAGGGCGUCUUAGGAUGAGUAAAACUGCAAAGAUUGGUUGUUAAAUGUUGUAAAAUGAAGAAAGUUUAGCCCUGUGAAGGUCGCAAAUUUUGUAUAUAUUUGUAUUACGCGCGGUAAAAAUAACCACUUUCGGCUCAAAAAUGGUUAUUUUCCCGCGCGUAAUGCAAAUAUGUACAAAAUUUGCGAACUUCACAGGGCUACACUUUCUUCGUUUUACGACAUUGAGCAACCAAUGUUUGCAGUUUUACUCAUCCUAAGACAUCCUUUCUACAGUAGCUGUGCUGUUUGAUUUCCUUCUUCUUGUCUAGAUCACAAUUUCGUCUCGUGGUUAUUGUAUAUACCCUAGAAACGUAAAUUCUAAAUUUUUAUAAUUUUGAAAAAUAAUAACGGCUUCAUUUCAGCCCUUUAGUCCUUGAAUUUCCUGUCACAUGGCUUUCAAUGUCCUAAACCGUGGUAGCAAUGCCCGAACAAACGGGAUGAGAAUGCAUGAGAGUUGACAGUCACGUGACGUUGGUUAGCUGUUCUUGAUGCUUUCCCAAAGGUCGAUUUACACUGCACAACUUUUGCCUAAAACUGUCGCAUGCAACUUGCUUACAGCUUGAGUUGUACGGUGUAAAGCGCGCAACUUUAAAACGUAGUUCGAACACUCGUGAAACUUUUAUUAUGUUAAUCUAGAGUUUGAAAUGUUCCCUGUAAUAAUUCGUGACUGCCAACUCUCAUAAACUCUCAUUCUCGUUUGACUGGGGCUUUACAACGAACAAACAAUUAUGGAAUGGCCCGUACUGGACCUCUUGAGAGAACUGUUUAGAACUGAUAGGGCUACUCAGUAUAAAUACAGUUUAGUGGGUUUCGAUCUCGAACUCUUUCGUUUUAUAUUUUAGUUCCGUAUGGAUUUCACAAUUUACCUCGUGACAUGGUGGAACAACCAGCAGAAGUAAACGAGAUAGUGGGCUUACUUAUGGAGGAGAAUAAUAGAGUGGGUGUGGUCGGCACUCGUUGGUAUCCACGGUAUGAGGGGCUCGGUAAGAUUGUCUUAGCCCUGAUUAUUGCUUGGGAUGCCUUGGUUUCUCGUCAGGUUAUCUAUAGCUUGACAUUGGUAAAACCGCAGACUGCUUAGCACGGAUUAAUAUCCUCAUAAAAGCUCUUGGGGGAGUUGUAUCGUUCAGUGAUAUGUCCACCGCGCAAAUUCAGUAUGUAUGCAUUUAAUGUUGUGUGUAAUUCUUAUUUAGGCGAUGUGACACGGAACGAUUUUCAAUAACG
rnacentral:lncRNA from 1 species